rnacentral:rRNA from 1 species
GUAGAUCGGAAGCGAGAAUGUUGACAUGAGUAGCGACAAACAGGGUGAGAAACCCUGUCGCCGAAAGUCCAAGGGUUCCUGCUUAAAGCUAAUCUGAGCAGGGAAAGCCGGCCCCUAAGGCGAGGCCGAAAGGCGUAGUCGAUGGGAACCAGGUUAAUAUUCCUGGGCCAGUGGGAUGUGACGGAUCGCAGAUGUAGUUUGCCCUUAUCGGAUUGGGUGGGCUGCUGAGCGGUUCCUGGAAAUAGCCCCACAUCAGACCGUACCCUAAACCGACACAGGUGGACUGGUAGAGUAUACCAAGGCGCUUGAGAGAACCACGUUAAAGGAACUCGGCAAAAUGCCUCCGUAAGUUCGCGAGAAGGAGGCCCCAUAUGUGCGCAAGCAUGUGUGGGGGGCACAAACUAGGGGGUGGCGACUGUUUACUUAAAACACAGGGCUGUGCGAAGCCGUAAGGCGACGUAUACAGUCUGACGCCUGCCCGGUGCUGGAAGAUUAAGAGGAGGGGUGCAAGCUCUGAAUUGAAGUCCCAGUAAACGGCGGCCGUAACGAUAACGGUCCUAAGGUAGCGAAAUUCCUUGUCGGGUAAGUUCCGACCUGCACGAAUGGCGUAACGAUCUCCCCGCUGUCUCUAACGUGGACUCAGCGAAAUUGAACUGUCUGUCAAGAUGCAGACUACCCGCGGUUAGACGGAAAGACCCCAUGAACCUUUACUCCAGCUUUGCAUUGGCAACAGGACUGUGAUGUGCAGGAUAGGUGGUAGGCAUUGAAGCGGGGACGCCAGUCUUCGUGGAGCCUCCCUUGAGAUACCACCCUUCGCCGUCUUGUUGUCUAACCGCGACCCGUUAUCCGGGCCCGGGACCGUGCAUGGUGGGGAGUUUGACUGGGGCGGUCGCCUCCCAAAUUGUAACGGAGGCGCGCGAUGGUUGGCUCAGACCGGUCGGAAAUCGGUCGUUGAGUGCAAUGGCAGAAGCCAGCCUGACUGCAAGGCUGACAAGUCGAGCAGAGACGAAAGUCGGUCAUAGUGAUCCGGUGGUCCCAAGUGGGAGGGCCAUCGCUCAACGGAUAAAAGGUACUCUGGGGAUAACAGGCUGAUGAUGCCCAAGAGUCCAUAUCGACGGCAUCGUUUGGCACCUCGAUGUCGGCUCAUCUCAUCCUGGGGCUGGAGCAGGUCCCAAGGGUACGGCUGUUCGCCGUUUAAAGAGGUACGUGAGCUGGGUUUAGAACGUCGUGAGACAGUUCGGUCCCUAUCUGCCGUGGGUGCAGGAGACUUGAGAAGAGUUGACCCUAGUACGAGAGGACCGGGUUGAACGAACCACUGGUGGACCAGUUAUCGUGCCAACGGUAGUGCUGGGUAGCUAUGUUCGGACAGGAUAACCGCUGAAGGCAUCUAAGCGGGAAGCCCCCUUCAAAACAAGGUCUCCCUUGAGGGCCGUGGAAGACGACCACGUCGAUAGGCCAGA